rnacentral:rRNA from 1 species
AGUGAACGCUGGCGGUAGGCCUAACACAUGCAAGUCGAACGGCAGCACAGGAGAGCUUGCUCUCUGGGUGGCGAGUGGCGGACGGGUGAGGAAUACAUCGGAAUCUACUCCGUCGUGGGGGAUAACGUAGGGAAACUUACGCUAAUACCGCAUACGACCUACGGGUGAAAGCAGGGGACCUUCGGGCCUUGCGCGAUUGAAUGAGCCGAUGUCGGAUUAGCUAGUUGGCGGGGUAAAGGGCCAACAAGGCGACGAGCCGCAGCUGGUCUGAGAGGAUGAUCAGCCACACUGGAACUGAGACACGGUCCAGACUCCUACGGGAGGCAGCAGUGGGGAAUAUUGGACAAUGGGCGCAAGCCUGAUCCAGCCAUACCGCGUGGGUGAAGAAGGCCUUCGGGUUGUAAAGCCCUUUUGUUGGGAAAGAAAUCCAGCUGGCUAAUACCCGGUUGGGAUGGCGGUACCCAAAGAAUAAGCACCGGCUAACUUCGUGCCAGCAGCCGCGGUAA